UUUUAAAUAUAAGUAUGUCCUAUGCAAUAUUUGGGACAUAUUUGCAGUAAAA
rnacentral:pre_miRNA from 1 species